UUUUUUCCUCCAACCCGGCCCAUUCUUUGUUUAGCAAAGGAAGCCUAGUCGCGUGAAUACAUGGAACGGGUGUCAAAGUUCACGGAGGACAUGACGAGUACGCGGAGUGAAAAGCAAAUCGCGUGCCUGAUUGAUUUCUCGUCGUCUUCCUCGCUACGUCAUCAAUCCGUACGUUUCCAGCAGAGAGGAUUCAUCCUUCGCAGACCAGGUGGAGCAGUCUGCACCAUUGUUCGUCCUUGGCUCAAGAUCGGAUGGUCCUCAUCGUUUUCCCGUUGUGGAUUGUACAUUUUCGAUUUGUUCCCCCAAAAUUGCUAGCUGUAAAAUAAUACCCCCUUUUUUCCCCGUUGGAAAAAAAAGUUUGAAGUUGCAAGGGAGGAUUCUCUAUUUUUGGAUGAAAUUUUGGGAUUAGAAUUCAAAACCCCCUAGUUCUAAUACAAUUUUGCACUCACCCUUUUCCCCUCAUUUUUUUCGAAACCCUACAUCUCCAUCUAUAUAUUAGUUUUUGUUCUAGAAAAAAGGGUUUUUUUUUAUCUUGAAUAAGAGGGAACGAAAAUUUUGGAAAGAAUUCUUUUGAAGGUAGAAACAUAGAGGGAGAGAGUUGUUUUUGGAUUUUUCUUUUUUUGAGAAAGGUCUUGAACUUUGAAAAGACUUGGUUUGGGGGAAAUAGCUUGAACAUUGAAAAGAAGCAGUAGCUUUUAGCUAUAAAAUCUCAUAUAUAAACAUUUAGAGAGUAUCUCUUGGAGGCAGAAACAGUGAAAGUUUCAAGUGUAGCUCGAGUCUUUGUUUGCCUCUCAUUUAUCGAAACUUCGAGGAAGUCAUUUCCUGCUCAUUUCGUCUCUCAGUUCGCUGCAUCGUAACAGGUAACAUUCUCGUCUCCAUUUCUCGUUUCCUUUUUUCGAAUGAUAUUUGUUCCGUUAUGUUUCCUAAACAAUAGUUGGUUUCAUUUUUUAAGUCACUUUUCGUUGUAUGUCCUCGAUAUAUCAUCGAAUAGAGUUUGAAUUUCGGUGACCCUUCCAAAUGUGCAUGAGAUUUUCUUUAAAGUUGGUUUUAUUGUCCGCGUUUGUUUAACAUCGUUUAUCCCAAGUUGGUAAGUUUCUAUUUUCCCCGCGUGACUCUUCACUGCGUAGUAUGGUUUGGACUUUUUGAUAGUUUGUUGUUCGGCUUACCUUUUAUUGUGUGUAUGUCUCUUGGUUUUGUUAUUCAUGUCCAUUGGUCGAACGACUUCCCGAAACAUCGAACUUUGUUUACCAUUUGUUUUACAUUGUUCCAAGCCGCUGUUGGUGACUAUCUAUCUUAGAAAAGCUCUAGAAUCACCAUUCCGCCGACAGAAUAAUCUCUCCUAGUCGGCGCGAUCUUGGUCUGCCAUACACUUGCUAGUUUUAUUUUUUAGCCCAUGAAAAUGGUAUUAUGAUUAACCUUGUGUGUGAUAAAAAUAGUGAGUGUAUAUUUGUUUGAAUCAUGUACUAUAUUAAUGUACUAAACAUUUGGACCCCGUAAUUAACUAAUGGCGAGUUCAUUAAGUAAUAAUUGAGUUUCAAAUUGUUUGAAUCUGUGUGUUUUCGUUUGAUUUAGGAGCAGCAUGUAUGUUUUUUUUCUUUUUUCUUGUCUCACUGCAGUACUGUUUGGUCAUGUUAGUUUACUUGCUACAUAGGUGAUUUGUGUUGGUCUUAUUUAAAAAACAGUUGUUGGUCUAAUUAUAAGCUUUCUUUUCCUUUAAAUUAAUUAGCUUUGGUGUUGAAUGAGCAAUUAAGCUUUUAUCUUUGUUUCGGCUAUCAUGACUAUUUUUAUGCGAUAGUUGGGUCCCUGUUCUUAGUCAGUAGCUUUUGAUACUAACUUGUUUCCCAUCUCAUGUUACAAGAAUGAAUUUAUUCCUCAAAAUCCUUAGAGCUCAUAAGUUAAUAUAUAAAUUUGCUCCACAUGUUUGAGAUUGUAGAAAGUAAAUUAUAUCAAAGCCUACAUGUAUUAUUGGUUUGUACUUAGUGAUCUCACAUGCCUAUUUUUCUUCACUGUAUUUAUUUUUACCUUGUUAACAUGGAAUCUAGUUUGUAUUAAGCAGAAGAUUGGUGUGACUAUUUUUAUUGUUUUAGUUACAGUAAGUGCUAAUGAUAUUUUCAUAUUCUCUGUCACAUGUGAAAUCCACCUAUGAGUCCGCAUGGGGCCAAAUUUUGUCCUAACAUAUUCGAGGGAGUCGUAAAGACUCAUGCUAUCGUCUAUCGAGUUCACUAACAAAACCGAUGAACAAGCUCCCAAGUGUAAAUUAGGUAAUACCAUCGAUGGUUGAUAUGUAUGUUAUUGUUGAAGGACCAAAGAAGUACAUAGUAAAUUUAAAUACAAGGUGUGUAGUUGCGGGAGAUUUCACCAUUAUGAAAUACCAUGUGAUCAUGUAAUUGCAGUUCUUAGAUACAAGAAACUACAUGAAACAUAUUUCUGUUCUGUCUUUUAUAGCGUGAAGAAUUUCAGAGGUGCAUAUGUCAUCCCUGUUGAACCUAUCCCAUGCUAGAGUUCGUGGUAUAUAUCCAUUAUAUUUCAAAGCCUAAUUGAUGGCACCCGGUCCAAGUAGAUCAGUUAGAAAAUCACAUGUUGAACGCUGAAAGAGGUUUGUCGAUGUGAAAUUCAAAAAGGUCAAAGGUUACUUGUAGUAGAUGUCGUCAAGUUGGACAUAGAGGAAAGACAUGUUCAAAUAAUCCUGUUAAAAAAAUAAUUUCAUGAUUUUUACUUUUUGUUACACAACAUGUUUUGUUUUAUGGAAUGAAUUUAGUUUAAUUAAUAUUUGA